GGUCGGAAAUAGAGAAUGGAGAAACUGAGGAAGCUGUCGCCUUUCAGACUCGACUCUCUUCUCCGUCUCCAAAAGGAUCCCAAACUCGCCCUCCAAAUCUUCCUAAACCCUAACGAGAGAUCUGUUCCUAACCCUAAACCCUUCCGUUACUCUCUUCGCUCCUACGACAUCAUCAUCACCAAGCUCGGCGGAGCCAAGAUGUUCGACGAAAUGGAACGAGUGGUCCAAAAGUUGAAGCAGGAGACCCGCUUUGUUCCCAAGGAAAUCAUCUUCUGUAACGUCAUCACCUUUUACGGCCGUGCUCGCUUGCCCAACCUAGCUCUCCGGACGUUUGAUCAAAUGCCGUCUUUUGGGUGCCAGAGAACCGUGAAAUCCGUGAAUACCCUCUUGAAUGCGCUCUUAGCUUGCCGGGAAUUUGAGAAAAUGGGAGAAGUUUUUGUGGGUAUUGAGGAACAUGCGGCCCCGGAUGCUUGCACUUAUAAUAUAUUGAUUAAUGCUUGCUGCCGGUGUAAUGAUCUGGGCGGUGCUUGGAAUGUGUUCGAUGAAAUGCUAAAGAAGAGAAUUCGGCCAAAUGUGGUGACAUUUGGGACCUUGAUUAAUGGACUGUGUGUGAAUUUCAAAUUAAGUGAAGCUUUAAGGUUGAAAGAAGAUAUGGAGAGAGUUUUUAGAGUAAAGCCCAAUGGUUUUGUUUAUUCUUCAUUGAUUAAAGGGCUUUGUAAGGCGGAUGAAUUGAAUUUGGCUUUUAAGGUUAAGGAUGAAAUGUUGAAACGUAGACUGGAGUUCGAUUUGUCAGUUUAUCCUUCCUUAAUUAGUGCACUGUUUAAGGUUGGUCGCAAAGGAGAUGUCAAUGGACUUCUGGAGGAAAUAAAACAAAAUGGUUGCAAGCCUGAUAUCAUGACUUAUAAUGCAAUGAUAUAUGGAUUUUGCCAAGAUGAAAAUUUUGAUGCUGCAUUUGGUAUUUUAAGCGAGAUGGAAAACAAGGGAUGUAAGCCUGAUAUUAUUAGUUACAAUGUCAUUAUUGGUGGGCUUUGCAGGGUGAGAAAUUUGACAGAAGCAAAUGAUUUAUUUGAAGAUAUGCCAAGGAGGAAAUGUGCCCCUGAUGUAGUAACGUAUCGGAUACUAUUUGAUGGGCUUCAUGAUGGGAUGCAGCUCAAGGAAGCAUCACUUAUUUUGGAUGAGAUGAUUUUCAAAGGUUAUUCACCUCAUGCUGCAAGUGUGAUGCGUUUUGUUGAUAGGGUUUGCCAGGGUGAUAAUUUAAAAUUGAUGCGGACAGUUCUGAACAGUUUGGGAAGUGGAAAUUUAAUUGAUGCAGACACAUGGAGAAUGGUUGUUCCCGUGGUGUGCAAAAUUGACAGGCUUUCAAUUGCCUACAAGCUUGUAGAUACCUUGGUGAUUCAAUAAAGUGAUGCCUUGGCCUCUUCGUUCCAAGAGAUUUAGACUGGGACCAUCAAGCGAUCCUGCUAGAUUUGGAUGGAACACACUCUUCCUGUGAGAAGUCAGAUAUUCAUUUGUGUGGUGGAGAUUGGACAUUUAGGGGGAAUAGACGUCUCCGACAGUCCAAUUCAAAUGUGUAGUAUUUACAAGGUAGUUUUGCUAAUUUGUUUACAAUAGUCAAGCUAGAAGGAAAAUCAUUAUGGCAGGCUCAUCUCAAUGCACAUUCCAAUUCCACUCAUAAUACAGCUUCAUGUCAAUCCUGGAAUAUUCUCCUAAAUUGCAGUGUCAAUGUUAAAAUUUUCCCUUUCAGAUUAAUAAGCCAACUUUCAUGUAUGAAUGGUACUGAAGGGGACUGCAAUGUCUGUGGUUGAUGAGUCAACUAGUGGCAGAAUUUCUGUGAAGAUGAUUUAGUGCUUCAAGUUUGUCAUUUUGGAAAACGGUUCUGAGCCAGAAGGAUUGGGUCAGUCACUAGGUAACUGAUCAACACAGUGAAGCUAAAGGCAGCAGAGAAAUGAAUUUUUUAUCUACUUGAACAUAAUGAAGGUUGCCAUGCCAGAAGAAAGAAGCUGUUGAGAUACUAAGAAUUACCAUCUUAUGUCUUCAGACAAAUUUCUUGAGAAGGCUACCUGCAUUAACGGAGGUAAGGGUAUUUAUUGAUGAUGGAGUUGGAACCCAUCAAUCCCCGUCGUUUCAUGGUGUGUCCCACCCUGGUGAAGCCAAUCCUUGUUUCGACUUGUGCUCUGAAUAACUUUAUGUAAGGUCCCAGAUAAUGGCAUUAAGGCAUAUAUGUAUGGUGUAUUUCUAAUGCCUUUUGCCAUUGAAGUUGUUGUGGGAGUGUUGAAGUGGACCUCUUUUGUGGUGGAGCCACAAAAUUAGAUUUGUUUAUGCCUUGGGAAUCAUUUGCAUAUGUUUCAGAUUUAUAUCUCAAUUCUGUGAGCUGUGAUAGGUUUUAAUUGGAUUGAAGUAAUCUAUUUAAUCACUGCCCCAGAGUCUUCGGUGUGGAUUUUGGUCAUCCAUGUUCUGAGCAGGAUGAUGAAAAAUAAUGUAUGAUGCAACUGGUUCAUUACUAGAACAUUCUGCUUCUUGCGUUUUGCUAACUUUUUGCAUAAUUGUGAAGAGAAUACAGCAUUCUGAUAGGAAAAUAGCUCCAGAAACUCAUUGGUGUCUUGAAUUAGUUGAUGAUGAUUGAAAAUUCUCCAGAAAACAGUGCACAGAAACAGCAGAGAAGAAAAACUUGUGGAAAUUAAGACAAGGAGUUAGGUUCUAGCUGUUCUUUUCAAGUGCAACUGUAGAGCUUUUUAGUGUUUCAAGUGAUAAGCAACAGGAUACUAACUUAGGCCGAAAGUUUGGUAAGCCUUUUCUGUUUCAUUUGUUAAUUAAAACAUUCAGCUAUUUGUUGUUAAAAGCGGAUAAAUCCACUCGGGAAUUUGUAAUUUAAUUUGUGAUAUGGUGGAUGUCUACAGAGGGUCAAUGGACGGCAACAUAUGCCGGCCGGCUGAACAUAACUGGGUCAGCAGUCUGGUCUGCGCCGUCGCUGGAAGCAAGGAAGCUCUUGGCAAUGGAGAACUCGAAGAAGGUGCCCUCAAUGGAGGACACUGCAGCUUUGAUCUUCACUGCCCUUUCAACUGUCGAAGCUCAGAACUCAAUGGCCGUUGAUCCAGUUCAGAGGCUCUCUGCUCCGUCUACCGAUCGCACCGACCGGGUUUUGCAGUCGGUUCCCAGCCCGGGAAUCGGCCAUUAGAGCCGCCGCCUUGCUCCUGGCGUUCGCUCAUUCUCAGAGCGCUAUAUAUUGGUCUAUGUAGUUAUAUAUAAUAUAUAUAAUACUUGCUUAAAGCUGAUGAAUACGGAGUUGUAUUGGUUAACUGAACAAUAUGAAGGCGCCUAGCCUUCAUGCCACUUCAAACUUACGUUUGAGGUUCAGUUAAGUCAUUCCUAUAACACAAGUUGAAAUUAUAUUGCAGUUAUUCUAUCAAUAUAUUCAUCAAUGAAAACAAUGAAAAUGAUCCAUUUGUGGGCAUUUUUUUAUCGCAA